UGCAAGGGCACUCUGUGUUAUUCAUUGUAAAUAUGAUAAUUACAAUUUGUAACCUUGCUAUAAUAAAUCUACCAAACCCUAUUCCUGACAGUUUUUAUAACUAUUUGGUCAUAUUGGGAGAUACAUUAU